rnacentral:tRNA from 1 species
CGGAGCGUGGUGUAACGGUAGCACACGUGCUUUGGGAGCACGUAGUCCGAGUUCAAAUCUCGGCGCUCCGA